UCCUAUGAUUCUGGUNCAAAGUGCUUAGC
rnacentral:piRNA from 1 species